UCAGACGAUGCGUCAUGCAUAUCAAUAAGCGGAGGAAAAGAAACUAACAAGGAUUCCCUCAGUAACGGCGAGUGAAGCGGGAAGAGCUCAAAUUUGAAAUCUUGAAAGGUCACCUUUCACGAAUUGUAGUUUAAAGAAGUGUUUUCUGUUACGAUCGUAAUAUAAGUUUUUGGAAUAGGACAUCACAGAGGGUGAGAAUCCCGUCUAUGAUUGCGAUUUGUAGCUUUGUGAUACACUUUCAAAGAGUCGGGUUGUUUGGGAAUGCAGCCCAAAACGGGAGGUAAAUUUCUUCUAAGGCUAAAUAUUGGCGAGAGACCGAUAGCGAACAAGUACCGUGAGGGAAAGAUGAAAAGAACUUUGAAAAGAGAGUUAAAUAGUACGUGAAAUUGUCAAAAGGGAAGCGUUUAACACCAGUGUUGUUUUCUCGAAAAUCAAUUAAAAAUGGCUCGAUUUUGUAUUGCUUGAGACCUUAAAAGCUCACUGUACAUUUUUCGUGUCUUUUUUAAUGCACUUUUCGUUUAACAAGUCAACAUCAGUUUCUUUUGUUGUAAAAGGGUCGUUGGAAGGUGGCUUUCUUUUCGGAGAAAGUGUUUAUAGCCUUUGGCCUCUGCAAUCGAAGAGACUGAGGUCUGCAGCGUAGACUCUUCGGGGUUAGAUACAUUUGUGCUAAGUUAUAGCUUUUUAUAGACAACUUGUUGACUAUAAUUAGUCUUGUAGCUUACUCGCUUAUGCUAUUUUACCUACGCUUAGGAUGUUGAAGACUCUACAGAGAUA
rnacentral:rRNA from 1 species